rnacentral:rRNA from 1 species
CACUCCUGCGGGAGGCAGCAGUGGGGAAUUUUGGACAAUGGGCGAAAGCCUGAUCCAGCAAUGCCGCGUGAGUGAAGAAGGCUUUCGGGUUGUAAAGCUCUUUUGUCAGGGAAGACACGGUGAAAGCUAAUAUCUUUUGCUAAUGACGGUACCUGAAGAAUAAGCACCGGCUAACUACGUGCCAGCAGCCGCGGUAAUAAGUAGGGUGCAAGCGUUAAUCGGAAUUACUGGGCGUAAAGCGUGCGCAGGCGGUUUUGUAAGUCUGAUGUGAAAUCCCCGGGCUCAACCUGGGAAUUGCAUUGGAGACUGCAAGGCUAGAAUCUGGCAGAGGGGGGUAGAAUUCCACGUGUAGCAGUGAAAUGCGUAGAUAUGUGGAGGAACACCGAUGGCGAAGGCAGCCCCCUGGGUCAAGAUUGACGCUCAUGCACGAAAGCGUGGGGAGCAAACAGGAUUAGAAACCCGGGUAGUCCCAUGA